rnacentral:lncRNA from 1 species
AAAAAAACCCAGCAACAAGGAAAAAAAAAACAAAGUAAUUCACCCAGAAAAAAAAGAAGCAGGAGGACCCAAAAAAAACCAGAAAAACACAAGCAAAAAACCCAGAAAAACAGAGCCGGGAUAAACAGAAAAAACCAGAAACAGGGGGGAAAACAGAGGACGCGCACAAAUAAAGAUAGAGACGAGUAUUGGUGCUCAUUGCCUUCGUCCCUGCAAACAACGAAAACCAGGAAUCAAAAACAAGUUCCCCUCAGGCCGGUCUCUUCAUCAUCCUCUCGACUGGAAAACCCAGGAGACACACAGAAAAAAAAACAAGCAGAGGAAAAUCACGAGAUCGCUGCCACUGCCUUCAGCGUUUCCAGAACCUGAAGAGAAAGUAAAGGAAAGCAGAAGAACGAGCAGAAGAGAGAAGGCAGUGCCGGCCAGCCAGAGCUUCGUCAUCGUGUCCAUCGAUUCCAGCAGACCAGGUAAGUGGUUUCUUCUUCUGCAUUUAUUUCAAAUGCCUUAUGCACUGUGCAAGUGAAUUUUAAUUCACUUGCACAGUGCAGCAGCACGCGUGCGUUAACGCACGCGUGCUGCUGAGCCCAGCCGGGCCACUGGCCAGGCCGGGCUGGCUGGGCUUAGCCCAGUCCAUAUCGGCUGAGCUGGGCCCAGCCAAAAAAUACUAUGUUGGGCUGGGCCCAGCCCAGCCCCAAAAAAAAUAAAAAAACAGAAAAAUAAAAAAGGAGGUGGAGAAAAAUAAAAAAAUAAAAAAUGUGUAUGCAUAAAUAAAAAUAAUGUAAAUUUAUUGGUUUAUUCACUAACGCCAGAGUUAGGAAUAAAAAUACCGGUUUAAAUUUAUAUUAUUUUUAUUAGUUGUAUUUUAUUUUAUUUGGAUGAAUAAAAAUAAUGUAAAUUUAUUGGUUUAUUCACUGACGCCAGAGUCAGGAAUAAAAAUACCGGUUUAAAUUUAUAUUAUUUUUAUUCGUUGUAUUUUAUUUUAUUUUAGCUAGAAAAAAUAAAAAAUAUGUGCAUGCGUAAAAAUGAAUGUAGUAUUAUUUAUUUAUUCACUGGCGUCAGAGUUGGGAAUAAAAAAAAACAUUUGAUUUAAAUUUAUUUUUUUUAGCUACGUAAUAUUUAUCAACACCAGAGUUGGAAAUAUUCGUAGUUAAUAUUCACUGGCGCCAGAGUCAGGAAUAUUGUAAGCAAAUUUUCAUAACAUAAAAAAAAAAUAAACAUUUAGCAAUUUAAGACGAAACUAGCAAUGUAGCCUGCCUCAGGCAGGACGUUUAAGGGGUGAUAUAAAUCUUCCCUUACGUAACCAGUCCGAACCAUAAAAUCUCUGUUGACCAGUUAGGGUUCCUAGUGACCAUAAUACUAGGUGGCGACUCCUUAAACAAGAAUAUUCCAUCAAAGAACAGGAUGCCAGAAAUCCGUUCUUUCCAAAGAUUAAUUAAUUUUUAAGGCCGCCGGAUGUCGGGUGCGACAGAAUGGCGACUCCACUGGGGACUAAUGGACUAAGCUUUGCUUUUGUUUAUCAAUUGCUAUAAUGUUUUUAUGUUAUGUUUAUUUGUUUAUUUUUCUUGAAUUUACUGCUUUAGCAUGCAUCCAUGUUUAUAUUGUCAUGCAUCACGUUAGAGCACACACGACAACUGAAAAUCUAGGAUAAGUGGGAAAGUAACGGUACCCCAAUGGCUUUGCCUGGGUAAGACUCGUGAAACCAUCCAACUCUCGCUUGAUUGUUUACUUGGAAGUGGUUGAUAUGCCAAACUGAUAUUACUCAGGGCCUCUAUUUUCACACUACUUGUAAGCCUCAUAUCGACCUUUCAUGGACGAUCACUGAGCAUGCGAGAGACCCUUUGAAACUAGAUAAUGACCAACCCUUUGAUGCACUCAACAAUUAGGAUCUUCCUAUUAGGUUGUCAUCCCGUGAAGGACGUGUCUGCAUUCCAUACGCAUUUUUAAUUGAAUCAACAUUUUUGCAUAAAUUGCAUGAUUUACAUUUACAGGUUGAAAUAUAGGUUCCCAUUUGAAACCCAUUAGAGAAAAAGACAAAUGGAAAUGAAGAAAGAGCCAGUUGGAAGCCCAACAUCAAAAAGAGGUGGACAAUCUUAAAGAAGAAGUCGCAAGGCUUACUAGUCUACUCGAGCAGGCCUUGAGAGAUAAAUCCGGAAAAGCAACACUUAUAGCUCAGCCUGAAGAUGCUGUAAAUCUCAUUCAUCCACAGAAUCUGGGGCAAAUGGGUUGUCAUCUGAUUUCAACAAGCCAUGCAUUUUCACCAGCAUACCCCCGAGAAUGUCGUUUACCAUUGAUUCUACAGAGAAUGAAUCUCAAAAGGGCAAAGGUAAAAGAAGAUGAGCUGAACAAAUUCAUUGCCUAGAACAAAGGAUGAGGGCAUUUGAGGGAAUUCACCUUAUAUCCUAUAAAGGCUGCUGAGAUGUGUUUGGUGCCAACGUAGUCAUUCCAAAAGUUUAGAGUGCCAGAAUUUUAAAUAUACGGGAACUCAAUGCCCUAUAACUCAUCUCAAAGCAUACUGCAACAAAAUGGCUGAGGUGGUUGAUGAUGAGAAACUGCUGAUUCAUUUCUUUCAAGACAGUCUGAGUAAUGGCCCUCACUUGGUAUAUGCGGUUGGACAAUACCAAGGUUAAAAAAUGGAAGGAUUUAGUUGAUGCCUUCAUGAGGCAAUAUAAGUUCAAUAUAGAUGUGGGCCUGAUCGUUUAAGCUUGCAAGCUAUGGAGAAGGAUAACAAAGUCCAUAAGAGAAUACGCCCGGAGAUGGAGUGAGUUAGCUGCACAAGUUAACCCUCCCAUGUUGGAAAAAGAGAUGAUCACUUUAUUUUCCGACACCUUUAAAGCUCCGUACUUUGAAUACUUGGUUAGAAGCUCUGCACAACAUUUCACUGACCUGGUUGUUAUAGCUGAGAGGAUUGAACAAGCCAUUGGGUUAGGUAAGAUUGCUAACCCGACUGAGAAGAACGGUUUCACUGAAGGUGGUUGCCAAGACACUUAUCAUUUCUAUAGCUAAUUGCUUCACAUCGACUCCUAGAAAUCAACUAUCUUGAAGAUAAAGCUAUGGUGAUAUUAGGUCGAGAAUGAUCUACAUUUGAUUUCAAUUGACUGUUGAAAAGAUGCCGUUGUCGAGGAGAAUGAAUGAUUGAAAUAUUCCAGAAAUUCCAAUCAAUGAUCGUUAAAUGUUUAGCCUCUUUAUAUGUUAUCAUACCAGUAUUCAUAGCCCAAGAUGUUGUCAUAAGUUCUUUCUUGUUGAACUUAUUUUCUAAAGUUUCAAUGAAAAUAAUGAGUUUGUCAUUCAAUCGUGUUUACGAUUAGCAUUAUUCAUUUUUUCUGAGAGAGUUUUCUUAUAAAGAUUCACAAACACAUCUUUGAAGCCUUGUGCGAUCUCAUAGACGCAAUUCAUCUUUUACCAAAAAUCAGUUUCCCUAUUGGAGUUUUGAAAAAAAUUGAUCUGGCAUUUUGAUUUCAAAAAAUAAUUUGAUGUUUAUUCAAAAACGAUAUUUUUGACAUUCUACUUAUAGAAUGACAAGUGAAUCAAGCAACUCCAUCAUUGAGGUGACUAAAUUAGAAAAACAAUUAUAAAAAAAAAAUAAACACCCUUACCCCAUUACUCUUGAAUCAUGUGUUUUUAAAUGUAUGAAUAAUGGUAUAUAGUGAACUUGUUGCUCAUAACUCAUGAAAUGCAUCUUUGCAAAGAAUAAACCAUCACACUAUACGAGGUCAAAGUUUAUUGAUCAUAGCUGCUUGCGCUUGAAAUGAGGAAAGGCCAUCUUUGUUAUUCCUUUCACGUUCUAAAAUAAGUACAUCCCUUGCAAACCCUUUUUGAGCCUGAAUAAUUUUUCUUUCAUAAAAAAAUCCCGACUAAGAUCACACCCUACACUGGGGGCAAGUGAAAUUUCAAUGAUCAAGAAGGAUGAUAAAGCCGUGAGAAAGCCAAAAGGCAAAAGAGCCCAAGAAACUCAAAUGCUAGGGAUCAUGCCCACAUCACAAAAAAGGGGCAAGUGAAAUUUCAAUGAUCAAGAAAAGGAUAAAGCCGUGAGAAAGCCAAAAGGCAAAAGAGCCCAAGAAACUCAAAUACUAGGGGGCAUGCCCAAUCACAAGAAAAAGUGAUAACCAAGAUAAAGUGAGUAUGCUCUAGCGAGCAAUGAAAAAGAAAAAAGGGGCAAAUCAAAGAAGAGCGGCAAAGGAAAAUAUGAAUGACGUCAAAAGUCAAACUAUUGAUCGUGAUCUUCAGUCUUUGAAACCCUGAAACACUCUUUGAGCCUUAUGAAUCAUUUUCUUUCAUAGCCAAAAACCACAGCCUAUGUUACGUGCCUGUAGAAGUCCUUUCUAAUCAAGCAAGCAAGCAAUCUAGAACAAUAAACAAUGCUCUCAAAAUGCAAAGAAUACUUUUUCAUAAGAUUCAUGACAUCAAGAAUAAACUACUCAUUAUUAUUCAUGCUGAUAAAAAUAAAUGUUCAAAAAGAGACAAGUUUUUCUCAUACAAAACCUCGAGCUUUUUCUCGAGCCCUUCACUUCAAAACAAAAGGUCAUCUCAUGAUAUGUUUUCACCGAAGACCUCGUUACCAAACACAAGAGCAAAUAAUCUCUUUUCCAAAAGAAAAUAACCAAGGAGUUGCAAGAUUUCAAAAAGCAAAUUGUUAUUUGACUCACAUCGAAAUAAUUUUUGUUUUCAAAAUGCAAGAUCAAGAUUUCAAGAUUCAUUCUAGACCCAUAUUCCUUCCACCAAACUGAAAAGGAGAGAAAUGAGAGAAUGCCUCUUAAAACCUUUAUUUUCUAAGUCGCUGACAGAAGCACACUUAGGGGAAUAACCAAUACAAGGGGGCAACAUUGUGUUUAGAAGGAAAAUUCUAGAAAAGGAGAUGGUAAUUUCCUUCAACCAGACAAGGGGGCAUUUUGGUUUACAAAAGACAGCUCGAUCCUUUCAGCAAGUGAUACCAAUGUUUUUAGCAGUGAAGACGAGUAAUGAAUAAUCCUCUCAAAUUAUUUGACGAAUCAGAAAAUCUUAGCAAGCAAGUGGGUCACGAUGGCACCAAAAUGCUGAGUUGUGCAAACAAAUUUGGAAAGACUUACAUGGGCCAACUCGAGUGGGCUAGAAAGCUAAACGACAAAGAUGACUCAAAUCAGAUAGCAAGAUCUCACCAACAACAAGAAAGAUUAAGAAGAAAUGGGGGCCUAUAUUUCAAAUCAGGUAAAGAUGCAUGCAUAUCAUUUAAACUUGGAGACAUUGGACAAUGAGUUUUGCAAACUUCAUAUGAGAAAAUUCCAACAAAAUCCAUCAAGUGGAAGGCCAACUUGAAAUGGCCAAAGAUCAAAAUUGCUGUUGAAAAUUAUCAUUUUUGAGAAUUUUUCAACCUGGGCAGGCCGCCCAUGAGAAUUAGGCCACCAGAAAAAUCUCUGUAUUUUUUCACCACCUUUCAGUUUCCACACCUGAGGUAGUGCAUUUUCUAUCCUACCUCCAUUCGAGCGCGCCUUCGAGCCCUCGUCUUACAUUCGAGCGCGCCUUUGAGCCCUCGUCUUACAUUUGAGCGCGCCUUCGAGCCCUCGACCAUCAAAGGUAGUGCAUUUUCUAUCCUACCUCCAUUCGAGCGCGCCUUCGAGCCCUCGUCUUACAUUCGAGCGCGCCUUCGAGCCCUCGUCUUAUUUAUUUUCGAGCGCGCCUUUGAGCCCUCGACCAUCAAAGGUAGUGCAUUUUCUAUCCUACCUCCAUUCGAGCGCGCCUUCGAGCCCUCGUCUUAUCAUUCGAGCGCGCCUUCGAGCCCUCGUCUUAUUUAUUUUCGAGCGCGCCUUCGAGCCCUCGACCAUCAAAGGUAGUGCAUUUUCUAUCCUACCUCCAUUCGAGCGCGCCUUCGAGCCCUCGUCUUACAUUCGAGCGCGCCUUCGAGCCCUCGUCUUAUUUAUUUUCGAGCGCGCCUUCGAGCCCUCGACCAUCAAAGGUAGUGCAUUUUCUAUCCUACCUCCAUUCGAGCGCGCCUUCGAGCCCUCGUCUUAUAUUUUCGAGCGCGCCUUCGAGCCCUCGACCAUCAAAGGUAGUGCAUUUUCUAUCCUACCUCCAUUCGAGCGCGCCUUCGAGCCCUCGUCUUAUUUAUUCGAGCGCGCCUUCGAGCCCUCGACCAUCAAAGGUAGUGCAUUUUCUAUCCUACCUCCAUUCGAGCGCGCCUUCGAGCCCUCGUCUUACAUUCGAGCGCGCCUUUGAGCCCUCGUCUUACAUUUGAGCGCGCCUUCGAGCCCUCGACCAUCAAAGGUAGUGCAUUUUCUAUCCUACCUCCAUUCGAGCGCGCCUUCGAGCCCUCGUCUUACAUUCGAGCGCGCCUUCGAGCCCUCGUCUUAUUUAUUUUCGAGCGCGCCUUUGAGCCCUCGACCAUCAAAGGUAGUGCAUUUUCUAUCCUACCUCCAUUCGAGCGCGCCUUCGAGCCCUCGUCUAUUUAUUUUCGAGCGCGCCUUCGAGCCCUCGACCAUCAAAGGUAGUGCAUUUCUAUCCUACCUCCAUUCGAGCGCGCCUUCGAGCCCUCGUCUUAUUUAUUUUCGAGCGCGCCUUCGAGCCCUCGACCAUCAAAGGUAGUGCAUUUUCUAUCCUACCUCCAUUCGAGCGUGCCUUCGAGCCCUCGUCUGAGUUCUUUUCGAGCGCGCCUUCGAGCCCUCGACCAUCAUAGGUAGUGCAUUUUCUAUCCUACCUCCAUUCGAGCGCGCCUUCGAGCCCUAGUCUGAGUUUCGAGCGCGCCUUCGAGCCCUCGUCUUAUUUAUUUUCGAGCGCGCCUUCGAGCCCUCGACCAUCAAAGGUAGUGCAUUUUCUAUCCUACCUCCAUUCGAUCGCGCCUUCGAGCCCUCGUCUUAUUAAAAAAAAAAAAAAAAAAAAUUCCUUGUAUUUUACCAACUGGGCAGGUAACCCAUUACAAUGUGACCAACUGGGCAGGUAACCCAUUACAAUGUGACCAUUUGGGCGGGUAACCCAUUACAAUGUGACCACCUGGGUCGGUAACCCAUUACAAUAUACCAACUGGGCAGGUAACCCAUUACAAUGUGACCACCUGGGUCGGUAACCCAUUACAAUAUACCAUCCUAUACUGGGCAGGUAACCCAUUACAAUGUGACCAUCUGGGCCGGUAACCCAUUACAAUAUACCAAUUGGGCAGGUAACCCAUUACAAUGUGACCACCUGGGUCGGUAACCCAUUACAAUAUACCAUCCUAUACUGGGCAGGUAACCCAUUACAAUGUGACCAUCUGGGCCGGUAACCCAUUACAAUAUACCAUCACAAAAAAAAAAAUGAAAAGAAAAAAAAAAGAAAAAAAUUGGCUGUCUUCCAAAUGACUUGUUUUCUCUAUAAAAGUCAUAUGUCAAUCUCUGGUUUUCGAAGUUUUCAAGACUCUAAAAAAGAGGCAAAAGUUAUUUUUGUAUCUAAUUUUCUUUAUAAAUUUACUACACAAAGCUAAAAGAAAAUGAAAUUUUCUAAUAUCGUUGCAUUGUAAAUAUUAUAAAGAGGGGGCAACUGUCAUAACCCAAUUUUUGAACAAAUAAUAAAAAUUAAAUAUAGUUGACAAUGGGGUUAAGACAACAAAUUUUGAAGCGUAAGGAUAAAAUUAUCAGAUUUGAGAAUAAAUUGGUCAGAAAUUGAAGAAUUAAUAAGUUUGGAAAUUUACUUAAAGUUUAGAUUAGUUUAAUUAAUGAAAUUAGAAGAAUUAAUAAGUUCAUGGACUUAAUUAAAACUUUGAUUUAAUUAAUUAAAUAAAUUCAGGGACUUAAUUGAAAUUUAUCCAAAAAGGGCAAAUUGAAAGAAAUUUUAUUUGCUUAGGGUCCAAUUGCAAAAUUUCCAAGUUCAGGGUCAAAUUAAAAUGUCCACGGGUUGCUUGAAAACGUCGCCGUUGCUGGGAACAGCUGUGUUCGUCGUCUCAUCCCGGUUCAAAAGGCUGAAGAUCUGCAACAAAUUUGAUCCGAUCGUGGACCACGUCUCUUGCCCAUGAUCCCUUCUCGUGAUUUGAAUAACAGUCCUGCAAAGAUGGGAUUGAUUUAGGGGGGAGCUCUCGAGCUCUAUAAAAGGCACGAACAAGCCAGCACAAAAAAAAAACCCAGCAACAAGGAAAAAAAAACAAAGUAAUUCACCAGAAAAAAGAAGCAGGAGGACCAAAAAACCAGAAAAACACAAGCAAAAACCCAGAAAAACAGAGCCGGGAUAAACAGAAAAAACCAGAACAGGGGGGAAACAGAGGACGCGCACAAAUAAAGAUAGAGACGAGUAUUGGUGCUCAUUGCCUUCGUCCCUGCAAACAACGAAAACCAGGAAUCAAAAACAAGUUCCCCCUCAGGCCGGUCUCUUCAUCAUCCUCUCGACUGGAAAACCCAGGAGACACACAGAAAAAAAA